UCAUCAUCAUCAUCAUCAUCAUCAUCAAUGGCUGAGCCCUCACUGUGCUUCCUGGGAGCCGGGAUCAGCUUCCCGCCUCCACGGGCACUACAGGAGGGAACAAAGUCACCUGUCAGGAUCAUGUGGAAAGAGGCCAAGGGUGGAUUUAACCCAGAGAAAGGGAAACCAACAUCUUCGACAAACAAGGUCCUGAAGCAUGAGCACUGUUUGGUCCGAGGGAGGGGACAGAACAAGCAGCGGGAGUAAGACGCCCGGCGCAGGUGCCUGCGGUUCCGUCCUAAGGAAAUCAGGUCGUAUAAGUUGGGAGGGAGACGGGGAGAGAUCUGACGACUAAUCUCAGUGCAAGGGGAGAUUUCAAAGCCUUGAGAAGAGAACACCACAAUGCAGCGAGCGGAGAGGGCGGGGAGCAGGCUCUGAAAGGGAGGCGGAGGUGGCGCCGAGCUCGCGUACAGCACUUUGAGAGGACAUCACUAGACAAGUAAUACACACAUGGCCUGCAGGAGGUCAAGGGCGGCGAGGGGGCUGGGCAGGGGACAUUUUUGUGACUUCCACUGUUAUUAUAUUUCACGACAACAGCAGCAGCACAAAUGGUGUGCUCACCACUGGAGAAUGAGAGCUGCUGAGUCUUGAGGAUGGCGAGACAGCCUUCCUGCAUUUGCUGCUUUAGUUUCUGCUUUAGAGCUAAGUUUUAUACAGAGAAUAAAAUGACCAUCUUCUCUUACAAACACGAUGAUGUAUGACCCCACACAACACAAGGUAUUAUGAAGUACCUGAAACUGAGGAUAAUCUGACUGAAGAUGCUUGCCGAGAGGGUACAGGGUCUGUGUGAGUCCAACGGGCCAAGAACCUUCUCCACAGCCAUAGCCCUCUGUUCAGGGGCCUCCAGAACCCAUCUGUUCUGGUCCAUUCCUGACCCUUGAACGAAGGCUGACUAGGGAAAAUGAGCUGUUGGGAUGAUGCCUGGGGACAGAAGGGCCUGGGCCACAGGCUCCAGACUAACUGUUUUUCCAAAGAGAUGGAGGCUUCCAGUGGGAGUUUGCUUCUCACCUGUCAGGGCACUGUGACUUAGACUGGAGGACUUCCCUCGGGAUCACAGCACUGUGGACACAGGCUGGGGAGGGGGCAGUGACAGGCUGUGGAGGAGGACGCUGGCCUGGCUUCGUGCAGACACCCCAGCCUCCACCCACAGCUGCACUACCGGGGGUAUGAGACGCUGGGAAAGGCAAAGAGGUCUGUUCCACCUUGGACCUCCUGAGAUAUCCCGAUUGUCACCUCCCAGGUUAUUUGGAUGAGAGCAGGCACUGAGGGGUAGGGACUGGAAUGAAGAGAGCAGAUUAGUCCUCAGUGUGAAAUACUCCAAGAACACAGACAUCUCUAUGAUUCUCAACAAGGACAGGAACAACCCCAAACAAGGUUUUAAAAACACCCAAAUUUCUACCGUUCCAUACCCAAGCAAUGUGCACGUCACCCAGGGUUAUGUACAAGGUCACAAAUCUUAAAUAACGGGGAGAAGGCGUCCAUUCAUCCUAACAGUCCAGAAAUUUCUCCUGCUGUGCACCAAUUGCACAUGAGCUUCUCUUUUUAGGAUACAUAU
rnacentral:lncRNA from 1 species